GACGAACGCUGGCGGCGUGCCUAAUACAUGCAAGUCGAACGCUUCUUUCCUCCCGAGUGCUUGCACUCAAUUGGAAAGAGGAGUGGCGGACGGGUGAGUAACACGUGGGUAACCUACCCAUCAGAGGGGGAUAACACUUGGAAACAGGUGCUAAUACCGCAUAACAGUUUAUGCCGCAUGGCAUAAGAGUGAAAGGCGCUUUCGGGUGUCGCUGAUGGAUGGACCCGCGGUGCAUUAGCUAGUUGGUGAGGUAACGGCUCACCAAGGCCACGAUGCAUAGCCGACCUGAGAGGGUGAUCAGCCACACUGGGACUGAGACACGGCCCAGACUCCUACGGGAGGCAGCAGUAGGGAAUCUUCGGCAAUGGACGAAAGUCUGACCGAGCAACGCCGCGUGAGUGAAGAAGGUUUUCGGAUCGUAAAACUCUGUUGUUAGAGAAGAACAAGGACGUUAGUAACUGAACGUCCCCUGACGGUAUCUAACCAGAAAGCCACGGCUAACUACGUG
rnacentral:rRNA from 1 species